rnacentral:rRNA from 1 species
UACGGGGGGGGUAAGCGUUGUUCGGAAUUACUGGGCGUAAAGGGCUCGUAGGCGGCCAACUAAGUCGGACGUGAAAUCCCUCAGCUUAACUGGGGAACUGCGUCCGAUACUGGAUGGCUUGGAUUUGGGAGAGGGAUGCGGAAUUCCAGGUGUAGCGGUGAAAUGCGUAGAUAUCUGGAGGAACACCGGUGGCGAAGGCGGGUCUCUGGACAGUUCCUGACACUGAGGCACGAAGGCCAGGGGAGCAAACGGG